AACGAACGCCGGCGGCGUGCCUAACACAUGCAAGUCGUGCGAGAAAGUUCCUUCGGGAGCGAGUAAAGCGGCGCACGGGUGAGUAACACGUAGGUAACCUGCCCCCCAGUCUGGAACAACUAGAGGAAACUCUAGCUAAUGCCGGAUGAGACCACGAUCCCUUCGGGGGUUGCGGCCAAAGAUGGCCUCUACUUGUAAGCUAUCGCUGAGGGAUGGGCCUGCGGGCCAUUAGCUUGUUGGUGAGGUAACGGCUCACCAAGGCUGUGAUGGCUAGCUGGUCUGAGAGGAUGACCAGCCACACUGGGACUGAGACACGGCCCAGACUCCUACGGGAGGCAGCAGUGGGGAAUAUUGCGCAAUGGGCGAAAGCCUGACGCAGCGACGCCGCGUGGGUGAUGAAGGCCU
rnacentral:rRNA from 1 species